GACAAGCGGUGGAGCAUGUGGUUUAAUUCGAAGCAACGCGAAGAACCUUACCAGGGCUUGACAUGCCGCUGACCGGUUUAGAGAUAGACCUUUAUCCUUCGGGGUACAGCGGACACAGGUGGUGCAUGGUUGUCGUCAGCUCGUGUCGUGAGAUGUUGGGUUAAGUCCCGCAACGAGCGCAACCCUUGUCUUUAGUUGCCAUCAUUAAGUUGGGCACUCUAAAGAGACUGCCGAUGACAAAUCGGAGGAAGGUGGGGAUGACGUCAAAUCAUCAUGCCCUUUAUGUCCUGGGCUACACACGUGCUACAAUGGUCGGUACAACGAGAAGCAAGCCAGCGAUGGCAAGCAAAUCUCUAAAAGCCGAUCCCAGUUCGGAUUGCAGGCUGCAACUCGCCUGCAUGAAGUCGGAGUUGCUAGUAAUCGCGGAUCAGAAUGCCGCGGUGAAUGCGUUCCCGGGUCCU
rnacentral:rRNA from 2 species